UGGGGAAUUGUUCGCAAUGGGCGCAAGCCUGACGACGCAACGCCGCGUGGGGGAUGAAGGUCUUCGGAUUGUAAACCCCUGUCGAGCGGGACGAAUGGCCCGCGACCUAACACGUCGUGGGAGUGACGGUACCGCUAAAGGAAGCCACGGCUAACUCUGUGCCAGCAGCCGCGGUAAUACAGAGGUGGCAAGCGUUGUUCGGAAUUACUGGGCGUAAAGGGCGCGUAGGCGGCCUUCUAAGUCAGACGUGAAAUCCCCCGGCUUAACCUGGGAACUGCGUCUGAUACUGGAAGGCUUGAGUGCGGGAGAGGGAUGUGGAAUUCCAGGUGUAGCGGUGAAAUGCGUAGAUAUCUGGAGGAACACCGGUGGCGAAGGCGGCAUCCUGGACCGACACUGACGCUGAGGCGCGAAAGCUAGGGUAGCAAACGGG
rnacentral:rRNA from 1 species